UCAGAGGCCAAUGUAAUCCCUGCAGAUCAAACUAACAGAAGGCAACAUGACUAUGAAAAUGUUCAAGGACCGAAGGUCUUGUGUAAAACAGCUGAUAUACCUAUGAUGGUGACAUCAAAGCAUCGGCAAUAUGAUGGCGUUGUUAUACUCCACAAGCCUAUCCAUGCUAUUGUCCCGUCAGGGGCGAUGCUUUCCAUGGAUGAGUAUGCUGUUGUCAUGUCAAACAGUCUAUUGAAAUUCAACACUGUGUAUCAACAAUAGUCUGUUCCUUAUUCAAACCAUCGACAUUGAUCCACCGGAGAACUUCAAUUUAAAUAAUAUAAUAUGUUCCAUCUUCUGUUACUUACCUCAGAAAAUAUGGAUUAAAAUGAGUGUAAAUAACGAACAAAACAAUAACAAAAGGAAUAAAUGUUAACAAUGAUAUUUUGAUUUAUUAAUUGAUAUUUGAAUGCAAACAGUCUUAAAAACAGCACUUUCAUUAUUUAACUUGUCAAAGAAAAAAUAAUUGUUUAGGAAAUAUUAUAAGUAUUGUAUAUAUGUAUAUAGAUAUAUAGAGAAGUUAUUUAAUCAGAUGUUUUAUUCAUUAUUUAAACGUUUUUUUUUAAAUACAUGUAUAUGGAAAUAUUUACUCGGACCGUGCAAUAUAUUUGAAUAAAAACCUUGCUAGUUGUAUUUAUGUAUAUUAUGUAUAAGAAAUGUUAUGUAAUAAAAUGUAAUAUAUCUGUUAUUUGUGUCUUGCCUUCAAUGUCCGUCAAAUCUAAUGGUUUUUAUCUUCCAAAGAGAUAAAUAACGAACAUACAAUAUGAUGAUCAAGAUAGCAUUCAAUGUGAGGUCGCAAAUGUUUUCGUUUAUUUGCAGCUAUCUAUACAAUAAACUUGUAUUUCUUCCACCACAUCAUGAACAGU